rnacentral:rRNA from 1 species
CCUACGGGAGGCAGCAGUGAGGAAUAUUGGUCAAUGGGCGCGAGCCUGACCAAGCCAAGUAGCGUGAAGGAUGACUGCCCUACGGGUUGUAAACUUCUUUUAUAAAGGAAUAAAGUGAGGCACGUGUGCCUUUUUGUAUGUACUUUAUGAAUAAGGAUCGGCUAACUCCGUGCCAGCAGCCGCGGUACUACGGAGGAUCCGAGCGUGAUCCGGAUUUAUUGGGUUUAAAGGGAGCGUAGAUGGGUUGUUAAGUCAGUUGUGAAAGUUUGGGGCUCAACCGGAAAAUUGCAAUUGAUACUGGCAGUCGUGAGUGCAGUUGAGGUAAGCGGAAUUCGUGGUGUAGCGGUGAAAUGCUUAGAUAUCACGAAGAACUCCGAUUGCGAAGGCAGCUUACUAAACUGCCACUGACAUUGAUGCUCGAAAGUGUGGGUAUCAAACAGGAUUAGAGACCCUGGUAGUC